UACGUAGGGUGCGAGCGUUAAUCGGAAUUACUGGGCGUAAAGCGUGCGUAGGCGGUUCGUUAAGUCUGUCGUGAAAGCCCCGGGCUCAACCUGGGAAUGGCGAUGGAUACUGGCUCGCUAGAGUGCGGUAGAGGAGAGUGGAAUUCCCGGUGUAGCAGUGAAAUGCGUAGAGAUCGGGAGGAACAUCAGUUGCGAAGGCGGCUCUCUGGACCAGCACUGACACUGAGGCACGAAAGCGUGGGGAGCAAACAGG
rnacentral:rRNA from 1 species